rnacentral:lncRNA from 1 species
GUCCUGUGACAUCUAGAUCCACUGGCUUCAGCUCCAUUGUGACAUCCUAACAUGCAUUGUGUUGGUGGUAACUUAUUGACCACUGAACCAUGCUGGAGAAGCUGGUGUGCACUGCAUAGAGGGUUAGGUGAGAAGUCUUUCAAGUGUGAGAUUUGCUCUUAUACCUUCAUUGAUACAAGCUCCCUGCAGCAGUGUUUCUGAACAUGCACUAAUGAGAGGCCUUGCAAAUGCUGGCUCUGUUCAUAUAGUCGCAUUUAGAAGAAGAGCUUGGACCUUCACAUAUGCUGACAUCACACUGGUGAGGUGUGGUUUUUGCUGCUGUUCUUCUGAGAAACAGUUUCUCCAAAAACACAUUAAGAAACAUCACCUAGGUUCAAGAACUUUCUUAACCAGCUCCCAGCUCACUUUUACCCUCAAAUCACUUCCUGUGGAAAAUUAG